rnacentral:rRNA from 1 species
GGAGCAUGUGGUUUAAUUCGAUGAUACGCGAGGAACCUUACCAGGGCUUAAAUGUAGUCUGACAGCUUUAGAGAUAGAGUUUUCUUCGGACAGAUUACAAGGUGCUGCAUGGUUGUCGUCAGCUCGUGCCGUGAGGUGUCAGGUUAAGUCCUAUAACGAGCGCAACCCUUGUCGUUAGUUGCCAGCAUGUAAAGAUGGGGACUCUAGCGAGACUGCCGGUGCAAACCGAGAGGAAGGUGGGGAUGACGUCAA